UUCCCCGAGGAGCGCUGCGACGGCCAGAAGCCGCCAGGCUCGGGGCGAUGGCCUCAACCCAACGGCGCUCGAUUACA
rnacentral:ncRNA from 2 species